AGUUGAUGGCAUGGCUAGUGCUCAGUCAUCUGGUCACCACAACUCUACUGAGCCCCUCCCCUGGGUGCUGGACUGGCUCUAACACUGUGCGAACAGACAGAGGAAGGCUCAUGCUUGUGGAGCCAACGUUCUAAGUUGGGGAAGAGUCAAUGUAUGAAUUUUAAAAACAGUAAAACAAGAUCAUUUCAGAGAACGGAAGACAACAGCAAGCACGGGCCACCUGUGACCACGUGGACCCUAGGACCCAAGAGCAUGGCCCUGGAGCUGCCUGGCCCUACUGGCCUAGACUGGGCCUCGGCCACGCGCUCCUCACCUUCACAGUGGCAUUGCAGUACCGGGCACAGCCGCUCUUCAGGCUCCCAAACCUGCCACUGUAGACACAUCUGUGUGUGAAGAGUGCCUGGAGAAAGCCAAGGAGGGAAAGCAUGGCAGUCAGCAUGUUUAGGUCCUCCAGGCACUGCACACCCU
ensembl:lncRNA novel transcript, antisense to STAB2